UACGGAGGGGGCCAGCGUUGCUCGGAAUCACUGGGCGUAAAGGGCCUGUAGGCGGUUUGAUAAGUCCUGUGUGAAAUCCCUUGCUUAACCAAGGAAUUGCGCCGGAUACUGUCAGACUAGAGGCCGGGAGAGGGAAGCGGAAUUCCGAGUGUAGCGGUGAAAUGCGUAGAUAUUCGGAGGAACACCGGUGGCGAAGGCGGCUCCUGGGACGGUACUGACGCUGAGGCGCGAAAGCGUGGGGAGCAAACAGG
rnacentral:rRNA from 1 species